AAUGAACGUUGGCGGCAUGGAUUAGGCAUGCAAGUCGCGCGAUAAGAUUCCUUCGGGAAUCCGAAAGCGGCGAAAGGGAGAGUAACGCGUAGAUUAUCUACCCCGAGGACUGGGAUAGCGGCGGGAAACUGCCGGUAAUACCAGAUGAUGUCUCCGGACCAAAGGUGUGAUUCCGCCUUGGGAUGAAUCUGCGUCCUAUUAGCUAGUUGGUGAGGUAACGGCUCACCAAGGCGAAGAUGGGUACCGGGUGUGAGAGCAUGACCCGGCUCACUGGGACUGAGACACUGCCCAGACACCUACGGGUGGCUGCAGUCGAGAAUCUUCGGCAAUGGGCGAAAGCCUGACCGAGCAAUGCCGCGUGCGGGAUGAAGGCCUCGG
rnacentral:rRNA from 1 species